GGGCGGAGCCUGCGUCCGGACCUCGCUGCAGCAGCAGACGAAGCUGGGAGACGGAGGAUGGAAAAGUGAAAGCACCUUCCGGGGUCAGCCUGGGGGUGUGCGCCUCCGAAAACACGUGAUCCGUGCACAGAGCUAGUAGACACUUCCCGCAGCCAAUUUGAGUGGGUGGUUCAACCGCGUAACCAGAGCUUCUUAGGAAUGAUGGGGACGCCCAAAGUUGUGGCUUAGGGAGUCCCGCUCAGCGAGUGCAAAGUCCGCCCGAAGGAUGAAAUUGAAGAGGAGUGGAGAACCUGAAGCAGCAGUCAGUGAUGAAAGAUGGCACAAGUACAGCAGGCUCAAGGGUGUCAGCAAAACAGAAUGUGGAAAAAGACUUUCUAGAAAGUCACCUGGGGUGAUGGCAAGACCCAGAAGGAUAUCCAAUAUUUACUUGAAUGGAGCCAGUCUUUAAUGGAGAAUUCCAGCUCCAGAGAAUCUGAAACAUCUGGAUUCCUUGAGGAUCUUCACUCUUCCUGCACACAACAGAUAAACAUACACACAGAGACAUAAAUAAAAGUAAUCCUUUCUGAGAUUUUAUUCCUAUUUUAGAGGUAGAGCCCAGGUCCAUCAGCUGUGUGUAAAACUAAUAACUAUUCAUUAAUUCCCAGAAACAAAACACACUAUAAUAAAAAAGUACAAUUAAGUCUAUACUUUUAAAAGUA
ensembl:lincRNA Gm26910 predicted gene, 26910